ACAAGAUUCUCUGGUCUGAAGAAACCAAUAUUGAACUAUUUUUGCCUGAAUGCCAAGUGUCAUGUCUGGAGGAAACCUGGCACCAUCCCUACGGUGAAGCAUGGUGGUGGCAACAUCUUGCUGUGGGGAUGUUUUUCAGCGGCAGGGACUGGGAGACUAGUCGGGGUCGAGGGAAAGAUUUAAUGGCGCAAAGUACAGACAUAAUUGAGGAAAACCUGCUCAGGACCUCAGACUGGGGUGAAGGUGCUCCUUCUAACAGGACAAUGACCCUAAAUCACAGCCAAGACAGAGAAGAAUGGGAUAAAAUCCCCAGAUACAGGCGUACCAAGCUUGUCGCGUCAUACCCAAGAUGGCUUAAGGCUGUCAAUGCUGCCAAAAAAUGCUAAAACAAACUACAGAGUAAAGGGUCUGUAUACUUGUGUAAAUGUGAUUUUUUUUUUAAAUAUAUAUUUUAUUUUUUAUAAAUGAGCAAACAAUUCUAAACCUGUUUUUUGCUUUGAGAUUAUGGGGUAUUGUUUAGAUUGAGGAAAAAAUCAAAUGUAAUCCAUUUUAGAGAGCUUAACGUCACAAAAUCUGUAAAAAGUCCAUGGGUUUGAUUAGGAUUUUAACGCCGAUACCGAUUAUUGGAGGACCAAAAAAGCCGAUACCGGUAUCGGAUGAUUUUAUUUAUAAUAAUGACAAUUACAACAAUACUGUAUGAACACUUAUUUUAGCUUUAUAUAAUACAUCAAUAAAAUCAAUUUAGCCUCAACAAGGGACUGAAACGUUAGCUUGAAAGCUGGU
ensembl:lncRNA